GACGUAGGAGGCGAGCGUUGUCCGGAAUUAUUGGGCGUAAAGAGCUUGUAGGCGGUUUGUCGCGUCUGCUGUGAAAAUCCGGGGCUCAACCCCGGACUUGCAGUGGGUACGGGCAGACUAGAGUGUGGUAGGGGAGACUGGAAUUCCUGGUGUAGCGGUGAAAUGCGCAGAUAUCAGGAGGAACACCGAUGGCGAAGGCAGGUCUCUGGGCCACUACUGACGCUGAGAAGCGAAAGCAUGGGGAGCGAACAGG
rnacentral:rRNA from 1 species